GAUGAUGUAGUUUAAUGGUAGAACGUGGGAAUCAUAAUCCUAAUGUUGUAGUUCAAUCCUACCAUCAUUA
rfam:Pythium ultimum DAOM BR144 ctg_1117875574519, whole genome shotgun sequence.